rnacentral:misc_RNA from 1 species
UAUUGAGGGCCGAAAAAUACUCACUUCCAAGUGCCGCGGAUUAGAAAGCAGCCCAUGGUUUUUCGUUCUAGACGCUCUCAUCUGUGUCUGUUCUUCGUUUACAUCUUGCUUGCUCGCCAGUACCAUCUCGCCCUCGCGUACCGACAUACACGUCGUCUUCUCUCUUCAUCCCGUCGACUCACUGUGACGCACAGCCUUGUCACAGAGGGCCGUGCGUUCUAGGGUAACGACAGGCUUGUAAGCAUCUCAUUUCGUUUUUUUUUGUAUGCUUGCCUGAUUUUUGUGUCCGUCAGGGAAGCUUCACCAUUUUUACUGUUGUUGUAGGCUCUAUUUGCGUCAAGGUGCGCUUGGAGCUGACGUGCUCGCUCUCGUGUAGCGGCGGUCGCGAAGCUGGCCAACGAAGAAAAGGUAGACACCUUUGUUUGUUUGCGAGCCUUUUGCACUCGCUCGCUCUCACUUUAGGUGCGGACGAGUCCUCAUUGCCGGCGACCACAUGCGAAGGACGCUGCGCCGAAGCCGAUAGAGGAGGAAUUCGAGGGUCCGCAGGGAGACCAGAAGCGGGCGGAAGAGAGAGAGCGACACCGAGGACCGGCAAAGGCCCGCAUCGACAACACCCUUGAAUAGGCAAAGGCGCGCGCGAGAAGCAGCCAAGGAAGGGACGGAAGUUCCGAGGAAAUUUUAUUUUUUUUUGUUGUUUCCCGUAUUUCUUCUCAUUCUUUUUCCCUCUCUUGCCUUGCGGCAUCAUCUCUUGGAAUUCGGGUUCUUUGUUUUACGAUUUCGCCGCUUCUCAACCGUCCUCGUUGUUCUUUCGUCGUGUCUCAGUCGCGCAUACGGGCAAGCAGCAUUAAUUGUCUGCCCUCUUUUUAUUUUUUUUUUUGAUUUUGUUUGUGCUGAAGCAGUGCAUUGGGUGUGGUUGCCGCUCUUUCCUAGAUCAGUGCGAUCGCAUCUCUUUUAUUAGUCUAGUUUUCACCUUGAUGUCAUCACCUGUAUUCUUCUCUCGUGUUCUCUCUCUCCGUCUCGAUCGCCAUUCUUCUUUUUUUUUUCGCUCGUUGUCGUUGUUGCUUGCCCUUUUAUUUGCGUGCGUGUCUCUGUGUAUGUGUUUAGUUGACUGAGCAGGGGCAAAAAACAAAGAAUAGUUUGGGUGGCCUUUGGUAAACCUGAAAGUCGAAGGGAUUACAACAAACAAAAAGAAAACGGAACAAGCCGACACAGGACACACAAGCAAAAGAAGGGAGCUCGUUUUCUUUGUUUUCUUUUUGGUGUGUCUGCGUGUUGUGUGUCGAUUUUGUUUUCUGGCUGUUUCUGAUUUUUUGUGUCAUUAGUAUUCGUCUUAAUUUGUCCGUGCUGCUGCUGCUUCGGUCGGAUGCGUUGCCAUCCUUCGCUGUUACCCUCGCUAUUUAUUUCACAUGAACACUGUUGUUGGCUCCUGCUGUCUUUUUUUUUCGUUCGAUGCAUCACUGAGUGCUGAGUUUGAGCGUCUCCUCUUUGCUUUUCCGUCAGGUGCGUUCAGUAUCACGUGCAUCUCGCCUCGCUUGACCCUCAGGUACCAUCGCGGUUAUCUUUUUGCCCCACAACCCCCUGCCCGUCGCUCUCCCCAGUCAGUUUACACCUCUUUUUCUUGUUCCUCCGCGUGCUUGCUGCCUCGCACUGCAUCCCUCGCUUUGUGACACCUCCUCGCCCUCUUCCCGCGCCGCACAACACACACACACACACACGAGCACAGGCACUGCCAUUCAACUUGUCAGUUCUCCCCUCUCCCCCACGCUCCCGCUCGCUUUCUUUUUGCUCCAGGGUCUCUCUCCGCUUUUUUUUUAGCUGCCCCUCCCUGCGUUCCCUUUGCUUCUUCCGAAGCAUCUGUUGUGUCGUCGCUUGUCGUCACCCUGUCUCUGUGUGGUGUGAGUUGGUCUGUGCGCUUUCUCGUUGUCUCUCUAUCUCUCUGUAUCUCUGGAACAGUUCUCUGCCCCGCCCCAUACUACUACCACGUGGGUCUCUCGUUUCUCUCACUCUCCUGUUUCUCCUUUUUUUUUUGUGGUGGCGUGCGUGUGUGUGUGUGUGCACGUUGUGGUGAUUUUACAGUUUCCUCCUGCUUUUUUUUUUCGAGCUGCCUGCCGCUGGUCGUCUGCUCCCCCACCGAACCCCACCCCACCCCUGGAAAGUUGCCGAGCUGCGGAGACGGCGCACUAGCUGCUCCUUUGCGGCGCCCACAUCGUUAGGCGCUUUGCCUUGCCGAACAGAACAGAACGAGGAACCGCAGCAGCAGGGCACGCGCUACAAACACAAGCACGCAGAUUCACGUACGUACUCCUUCCCACCCUCACAUUCACAUACAUUGACACGCACAGAAGCUCUCUCGUGCCAGCUGCCUCGUGUCCUUGGUCGCAGUUGCUGGUUUUUGCUUCUCUGUGUGUGUGUGUGUGUCUGUGUGUCUGUGCGCACGUCGGCUCCCGCGGUCUUCUUUUUGCUUGGUUCUUGCUCGUUUUCGCUACCGACGCAUAGUGUUGAGGUGCUCGAGUGAUGGGUGUCCUAUGCGGCUCAGCGAACUCGCGGGGUGGUAGAAUUCUGGCCGCCUGCGCUGACACCAACUGCCGAUCGAACCGCGAGCUCUCGCGGUGCCGUGUAGACAGCACCCAUGGAAAGCGAAACGGGUGCGCGCAGCACAACCACUUUAGGAGCUCAGCCGAGGUUGGCGAUGCUAACGUAUCUGAGACCAUCCUGAGCGCUAGCACAAUCCAUAUCAGUCGCGUAGGCGGAAGCGGCGGAGCUAAAAGGUUCGCUGGUGCUGGGGCCGACACCAACAGCGAUGGUGUGGGACACUCGCCUACUGUCGGUUCGGCUGCAGGAGGCUCUGUGGAGCACGGCAAGGUACCUCAGGCGCCAGGAACAGCGCCACCCAAAUCACAGCCGCUGCACGCAGCAGCAGACGCCGCGCUAAACGGGCACGAACAGCAGCAGCUUCAGCGAGGCGCGAGCUCCCAUGGCACGUCGCGCGAAGCCUCCGUCGCACCGCAGAAGUUGUCCGCCCGCGCACUCCGCAUUGCGUCGCGCGUCGAUUCCAUUGUCCGCAAGUGUGAGGGACUCGAUGCGGAGCGACCCACCGAGGAGGAAAAGGUCAUGUGCGAGGUGCUCGACGCCCUCCGCAGCAGCUCCGUCGGUCUGCUCUUUCUGAAUCACCCUGAAGUGUCCUUUUCAAACCGGUCGUGCGUAAUCUGCAUCCCUGAUUUCCAUCAAGACGAAACAAUUGAUGGCUACCGCUUGCGCGCCGCCUACAAUGCCGGCACCAUCGGGCGAAGCUACUUCGCUACCCGUGACGUCGCGGCGUUAUCGAGCAGGUGUACGCCCCCGCACGGCUCGAGCGACUCCCUUUCCGACGAUGCCGCCAGAGGCCCGGUAUUCCGCAUCCUCAAGGUGAUCAGCUUUGUGCUCCGGCGCCGGCUGCUGGAGGAGAUCACCGCGGAGCAGCGGGUUCUCGUCAACAUUGUGCACCAGAACGUGCUGCAAAUCAGCGACGUUCUCAAUGAUGAGGCGAAGGAGAACAUGAUCGUAAUCACCAACUACCAUGCAAAGGGCAACAUCGGCAACUACGCAGGCCGGCUCUCGCACGACUCCGACAAGCUGCGCCGGAUCCUGACGGAGGUGGCGGUGGGUCUUCGCAUCCUGCAUUCACACCGAGUCUAUCACCACAAUUUGAAGCUCGACAACGUGCUCGAGAACGGCGAGGGCCACUUCUGCAUCGCCGACGCCGGUUUCUGGCGUCUCUUCGCGGUGCAGUGUCCGGAGGAUCUCGUAUUCAACGGCGAGUUGGCCUGUCUCCCACCCGAGGUGUUCGACCCGGAGGGCCCGUACGCGACAGGCGAGGUCAAUGUCGUCUCGGACGAAGGCGCGGCCGGAGUGGCGGCGGUGGAUAUCUGGGGCUUUGGCGUGCUCAUGUACCGUCUCGCCUACGGCUGCGAUCCGAUUGAGAUCGCCGAGUGCUCCUACGCGCAGGUGCAUGAGCGGCUCAUGGGCUUCGACCUGAGCUUCCCACCCCGCCCGCACUGGAGCUUCGCGUACGACAUCGAGGACGCGAUCAGACUCUGCCUGCAAAAGGUGCCCUCGAAGCGGCCGAGUGUGCUGCGGCUGCUGCAACACCCCUUCUUCAAGCACAGCUUGGUCGUAGGCACCUCGUCAUUGAUGCGCAAAAUGUCCAUGACGAGCAGCUUCGCUUUCGGUGGGCAAAUGGUGGGUAGCUUCGGCGACCGGACAAUGAGCGCGCCGGGGCUGAGGGGGGCCUCGAUGAGUAGCAUGGCAGUGCCAAACUACCGCACGCAGCAGCGAAACGGCUUCCAGGUGGACGCUUUUCUUGGUGAGGGCCGCUUCUCGGAAACGAUGAUGGUUCAUCUGCGCCGCAAUCAUUCCAAGCAGUUUGCCUUCAAGAUUAUCUACAAGUCUAUUCUGAAGCGGCUGCAAGCACCUGGGCGGGAGAAAUGGGCGCGAGAAAUGCGUCGCCAGCUUGUUUUCUCCCGCAAGGUGGACCACCCAAACGUUAUGCGCUUCAUCGACAUUGUGGAGGACAAGAAAGUGAACUGCUUCGUGGUGCAGGACUACAUGUCGGGUGGGUCCAUUGAAGCCGUGCCUCCGGUGAAGGGCGACAGCUCGUCCCCAACGCUGCAGGAUUUCUUGGUGGAUGUGCUGGCUGGGUUGGUCCACUUGCACGACAACGGCGUAGCGCAUCUCUCUCUGCUUCCGACGAACAUAUUCUUUUGCGAGCAUACCUUGCACUACUGCAUUGCCGAUUUUGGGCCGCUGUUUGUGACGGCAGACGCCUUGGCGGACUCCAUCGCGGAAGGCGCGCCGCUCUACGCGCUACCCGCGUGGGUGCGGCGGCAUAGUCCCUUGCAUGGCCCCAGCGUGGACAUGUUCUGCGUCGGACUCCUUGCCGCCUCGGUACUGCCGGAGCUCUUCGACACAGUAUGGGCAGAACUGCUCGACAGUGAGAAGAACAGGACGUUUGCCGUCGACGCGGUACUCACAGCCGUGCGAAAACAAAGGGCGCAGCUGACGCCAGCGCUGGUCUCCUUCAUUGAGGAUGCGCUGGAGGGUAGGUUCCAAGACGCGCGAGCGGCGCUGAAGCACACGUACUUCGGAAACCUGAGUUUCGCGCAAAACUUGCCAAAGACGAUUGUCGAGGUCACGGAGGAGGAGUUACAGAGCGCCGUGCACUCGAAACCCGAGACGCGCGACGAAGCCCGCAUGCUAGAGGUCCUCGCACAGGACCCGUUCCAGGAGAGCCAGAUGCUCAGCUCUGCUGGUGACGCCACGCUACACGGCAGCGAGUCAUGCACCGAGGCGUCCGUUAUCGCUGGUGCCACGGGCGAGAAGCCUACGGUUCUCGUUUUCGAGGGCGAGAACCUGCUCUGCGGCCAAUGCAGCGCCGAGCUGACGGUGGCGCUCUAUCAAUGCUCCGACUGCGACGGCUACAUCCGCUGCGGCAAGUGCUCUGUAGGCAACUACCACAAGGACGGCCACGAGUUAGUGCCGUUUCUGAUUCACACGAUCGAGCACAGCAGGGAUGGUGCCAACAAGGCCGUGCUGGUGCAGCCGUCGACGGUGCCGGAUGUGCACGCGCUCGAGACGCUUGAGAUGACGGCGAACUUCCCUGUAGGCUCCCUUACGGCACACCUCGUGGCGCAGCGCGCAGCGGAGCGGUCGAUUGCGGUGCGCAGCACUGGUGGCGGCAGCAUUACAAAGGGCAUGUUCGGCGACAUGGAGAGCGUCGUCCGCCUUCCUGACGACAUAAGCGAGCAGAGCAUUUCGGUUAACAUCAACUGUCGCAGCUUUAUCAGCUUCCGUGGGCUAGGUGGGAUGCCCGGUGGCGGACUAAACCUUGGCAGCGGCGCCAACAACAGCAAUACGGGUUUCAACACGGUAGGCUUCCCACACGGCCGCGCGGAUCCUGUGACGCCAAAGGACUUUGGCUCGCUUUGCUUGCCUCCGCCGACGAGGCUCUCACUCAUGAAGGGCAAAGAGGCGAGGAAGCUAGUGCUUCCCAAGGCCGAGGAAAUCGAAGACGACGACUGGCAGCAGGAGCUGGAGCGCUGCCGCACCAGCAAUCACUCGGAGCUGCUGCUGUACAACUACGGGCUGGACGAGGUGCCGCCUGAGGUGUACGACCCGCCACUGCUGCAGGUGGUCGUUUUGGAUAUUUCACAGAACAACCUCAGGUCUCUUCCACAUGAGCUGAGCUUCUUGAUCCACUUGCGCAAGCUUGUGGUGUCGUACAACAAACUCACCGAGCUCCCAGAUAGCCUCGGCAACCUUAGCGAGCUCGAAAGCCUCGAUGCGAGCCACAACGCCCUCGUAGAUCUACCGCAGACCUUCAUCUACCUCAGCUCCCUCACCUCGGCCGCGCUGGACUACAACAACUUCUCCAGUAUUCCUGAUAGCUUGCUUGAUAUAGUCGCUCCUCCGCUAUGUUCCAGCGCAUCGAACGUGAUGGAGAACUUUGCCAUGUCCACCACGCAGGUGAACGGCGCGCGAAUGGCAAGCUUAGUGGGUAACACGGCCGUCUCCUUAGUUGGCGGCUCCAGCGUGAGUAACUCCAAGACAGUGAUCAUGUCGCCCAAGCUGAAGGUGAUCUACCUCGCCGCCAACGACAGCCUGACAACCCUGCCUUUGCGAGAGCGGCUGCAGCGCUUCGACGACCUCACGAUCGCGCUCGACAACGAGCCCUCGCUCUACAAGGACUACUACGAGAAGAGCCUCGACACCGAGCUGCCCAACAUUACGGUCAACUGGAACAAGCUCUACCCGGAUGAAAUCGUGCCGUAUCUCUACUGCGGCAGUCUCCGCUCUGCGCAGUCGCAGAUGGUGUACCGAAAGCUGAACAUUACGUAUCUGCUCACUGUAGGCCGGCAACUUGUGCCGGUGCCACCGGAGGGCGGCCAUCACAAGGUCAUCGUCGUGGACGACAUCCCUGGCGCUAACAUUCGCAUGUCUUUUCAGGAGGCCGUCAACUUCAUCGAGGAAAGCCAGUCGAAAAAGAGCGGGUGCCUGGUGCACUGCUUUGCAGGCCUGUCGCGCUCCGCCACAACGGUAAUUGCGUACCUGAUGAUUAAAAGAGGCAUGCGGCUGGAUGAGGCCUAUCUGGUGACCAAGAAGGGCAGACCUGCGAUUCUCCCAAACAAGGGCUUCUUUGAUCAGCUGGUGGAGCUGGACAAAGAACUGUACCCCAAGCCAAACCGGCCCCUCGACAUCGAGUCCCUCGGGCGUUCAGCAAACUGAACAAAGCCAAAGCAGAAGAAGGCAUCCCUUUCGCCGCCACGUGACCUUCCUCACAUGCGUGUCUGCGCCUAUGUGCACGUGAGCGGGUAUGCGUAUUCGCUGGUCCUGUCUUCUUGCAUUGAUGUACGCCGUGGAGUCUCGACGUACUCGCCCACAGCCACUUGCUUCCGUACCAUAUAUAUAUAUAUAUAGAUGUAUGUGUGUGUGUGUGUUGUUCCCCCACCCCAUCUCGCUCUAUUUCUUCUUUGACGCCUCGUGCCCGCUGUUGUGCGUGCCCUUUACUUUCUUUCUAUUUUCCCGCUCUUGUUUUGUCGUUCUUCCUGGUCUUGUUUCACACGUUUGUGUCUAUGUGUGUAAAGGAUGUGUCCUUGUUUGCUGUCUUGCGUCACUGUGCUCUUUCCCUCUUUUCUUUUGUUUUUCGUUUCUUCUCAUCGCGUUACGGCGCACUUCCGCCAACGCCCUGUUCCGUCUUGUGCGUCCCUCUUCUUUCCCUCUUUCCUUCGCUUUCUUGUCCCUGUUUCCAGUUUUCCUUUUCUUCGUCGAUCUUGCGCCGCUCUCUUCUUUCGUCUCGUGCACUUCCGGCAUCCCACCAAUACUUUCAGAAGUUUGGAACAGGCUUGGCGGUACUAGACAAGCCUCGUCCUUUCUUUUUUCUCCUUUAUGAUGCUUUAUCAUAAUCCCAGCUACACCGCACCGUGGGAUCCCAGCCUCCAGUGUCCCGAUCAUGGACGGCAGGCCACGAGCCUGCCGCACCCCCCCCUCCCCCGAGUACGGUGGCCCACCCUUGGCGUCCGCGGGCAGGGCAGGGCAGGGGGCGGGGCAAUGUCGCCGAAGAGGCUCGCGGCACGGUCACGCCUGUGCUGACGCACCGCGAGUUGUGCCGGCGAUUCAACGGGUACACGUCCCCCAACUCCUGUUUUCUGUUUUGGCAGCGAGGCGCUGAUGCAGGAAGCAGCCCGUUUCCCCGCCAGCGCCGGACACAGCGCGACUGCCAGUGGGCGCAGCCAAGCACACCGUGGCUGGUCGGCCCGCCCCCGUCACGAAGCGUCGGCACAGGGGUCUGCAUUGCGCAAGACGUGCAGUUCACUCCCACAGGCCCCACAGGGCACCUGGCGUACCAGCGUCUCAGCAUCCCGGUGCAGCAAGAGAGAGGAGGCACCGGGCUGGCGUCCCCGCGCUCGCACACCACGACACGGGGCACAGGUGUACGCCCUCCCCCUCUUCCGAACGACAAGAGCGAGGCAGCGGCGUUGCGGCUGUGCUGCCAAGUCCAUGCUAGGCGCAUACACACCACGUCCGGCCGCACACCAAAGAGUCAGCCACGCAGACGCACACCUGCGAGGUGUUCCGCAAGGCUAUGACAGAAUGCACGACUGCAGCCAGCAACACCCACGAAGGCGGGCCUCUCUGGCGACGCUGCCCUGCGCGCCGCCCUGUGGAAGGUGGUGCGCUGGACAGUGAAGCACGCCAUACAGGUGGAUUGAGCAUCCCUCAAAACAAGGCGCGCACCCGCCCAGCGAAGCACACCCCGCCGCACGCAACGACCUUGCACGCGGUCACCUCGACACGCACGUCUCGCACGCGCUGCACGGGCUGCCCCCGUCGGGGGCCUGUCGCUGCCCCCACCACACCCUCUGUGCCCCCACAGAACGGCAGGCUGUGAGCUCCCCGUGUGCGCACGCGCACGCGUGUCGGCGGGACCCCUCCGCCCCACGCGCACAGCAGCGGCCGACCCGUCGCGGCAACAUGCGGGCAAGCCGUCCAGGCACGCACCCCCCCCCCCCCGGCAACAGUGCCGUUCUCGAACACGCCCCCUCCCCCCCCCCACUCCACAAAAG